rnacentral:rRNA from 1 species
GUGCCCAGAUGGGAUUAGCUAGUUGGUGAGGUAACGGCUCACCAAGGCGACGAUCCCUAGCUGGUCUGAGAGGAUGACCAGCCACACUGGAACUGAGACACGGUCCAGACUCCUACGGGAGGCAGCAGUGGGGAAUAUUGCACAAUGGGCGCAAGCCUGAUGCAGCCAUGCCGCGUGUAUGAAGAAGGCCUUCGGGUUGUAAAGUACUUUCAGCGGGGAGGAAGGUGUUGUGGUUAAUAACCGCAGCAAUU